rnacentral:rRNA from 1 species
AGAGCGAACGCUGGCGGCAGGCCUAACACAUGCAAGUCGAGCGCCCGUAGCAAUACGGGAGCGGCAGACGGGAUAGUAACACGUGGGAACGCGCCCUUCGGUUCGGAAUAACUCAGGGAAACUUGAGCUAAUACCGGAUACGCCCUUACGGGGAAAGAUUUAUUGCCGAAGGAACGGCCCGCGUCCGAUUAGCUAGUUGGUGAGGUAAUGGCUCACCAAGGCUCCGAUCGGUAGCUGGUCUGAGAGGAUGACCAGCAUCACUGGGACUGAGACACGGCCCAGACUCCUACGGGAGGCAGCAGUGGGGAAUAUUGGACAAUGGGCGCAAGCCUGAUCCAGCCAUGCCGCGUGGAUGAUGAAGGCUUAGGGUUGUAAAGUCCUUUUAACGGGGAAGAUAAUGACGGUACCCGUAGAAUAAGCCCGGCUAACUUCGCGCCAGCAGCCGC